CUUGGUCGGGGAAUCUUAAUGCAGUGAUCAAAAUAACUGCCUUCCUUCUCCAUCUUAAAUAGACAAUCUCGAAUGUUAAUGCAGUGAUCAAAAUAACUGCCUUCCCUCUCAUCUCUUUUCUUCCCUUCGUUUCUUCCUCUCAUCCUUUCCCCUAUUUCUAUUGCUUGUUCUUAGGGUUUCUGCUUGGAUCAUUAGGGUUUUCCUUAGGCUUCACCUCCUCUCGUCCCUCCCAUGUUUCUUUUUGUCCUUGGGGUCUCUCUGGUUCCUUCUCGAAUCUUUAGGGCUUUCUCGCCCCUCGAGAUUGGCUCUCCCUUUUGCACCACCCAGAAACUGGCGAGAGCUCAUUGACGGUCUCCGACGCCUCAGAUGUAUGUUCUGUGUAGUUGCGGCUCUUCGACCGCGCCACGACCUCCAAGAUUGCGUCUCCGCUCUUCAGCGUUUGCCUCGACUCGUUGAGGACUCGCGUGGCUCGUGUUCUUUCUCCUUGUUCUCUCCGUAGCACCGGAAUUUUCUUUAAUCUUUCGCUUUUCCUCUAUUGUGGUUUCAGCAGUUCACGGGGUUACUAAAUGCUAAGGCGUCGAAGAAGUGCAAGAACGACCUUAGAGAGCGCUUUGGAGGAUCCAACUACUAAAUGUAACAAGUGGUUGUUGAAAUGGCUGAACCACAGAAAAACCAAGAAGAUGGUACAAAACUAUGUGUAAUUAGCAAGUAUCACGAGGCGAAAAGAAGAUUUGGGAAUAUGCAACGAUCAACGGACGGGUGGGUGGUCAUUCUUGAUUUGCCACUGAUAGUUCUUCAUUACUGCAUAAAAUGAUAGGCUAUGAUCCCACUUGUAUUCUUCAUGUAAAACGGAAGAGGAAAGAUGAUUAACUAAGACUCGGCAACAUGUCGUUGUCAAGUUUUGUUUGUCAAUCGGUUGCCUUAACUUGCGAGUCCAAGGAAAAUUUCAUUUGAACUA